rnacentral:rRNA from 1 species
GACGAACGCUGGCGGCGUGCCUAAUACAUGCAAGUCGAGCGAACGGACGAGAAGCUUGCUUUUCUGAUGUUAGCGGCGGACGGGUGAGUAACACGUGGAUAACCUACCUAUAAGACUGGGAUAACUUCGGGAAACGGGAGCUAAUACCGGAUAUAAUUUCGAACCAAAUGGUAGAAACACAAAUUUGGACUGUCCGAUAUUUAUCGGUCGUAGCCGGGCUUCAUUGUCAAGUUGGAAGGGUAACGGCUUACCAAGGCAACGAUGCAUAUCCGACCUGAGGGGGUGGUCGGCCACCCUGGAACUGAGGCACGGUCCAGACUCCUACGGGGGGCAGCAGUAGGGAAUCUUCCGCGAUGGGCGAAAGCCUGACGUAGCAACGCCGCGUGAGUGAUGAAGGUCUUCGGAUCGUAAAACUCUGUUAGUAGGGAAGAACAUAUGUGUAAGUAACUGUGCACAUCUUGACGGUACCUAAUCAGAAAGCCACGGCUAACUACGUG